rnacentral:rRNA from 1 species
UGGGGAAUAUUGCACAAUGGGCGCAAGCCUGAUGCAGCGACGCCGCGUUGCGGGAUGGAGGCCUUCGGGUUGUAAACCGCUUUUGUUCAAGGGCAAGGCACGGCUUCGGGCCGUGUUGAGUGGAUUGUUCGAAUAAGCACCGGCUAACUACGUGCC